UAUUCACGACCAGUGUCCCCAACCAACAGUUAAUUAUGACGGGAGCGUGCCUCGCCGAGCGAAACUUUCAAAUUGGAUUACCCGCACCGUCGGCAUCGCUCACGUAGGCUAGUUCACAUUGUGCAGCUUCCUAGGUCGUAAUGGAGUCAGACGUCAUUUUAUAAAGUUCACGAGAUGGAAAGGAUUUUUAAUACAAAAAUGUUCUGCUUCAAUUCUACAAUUGGCACAAACGAGGUUGGAAACCGAAGUUUGGCUCAAGUUCCUGCAGCGAAGACUAUGACGAUUCCGCGAACAAACUUACCUAAUUGCGGUUUUUGGGGUAUAUCCG